rnacentral:tRNA from 1 species
GUAGACGUAGUUUAAAAAAAACGCUAGAUUGUGAUUCUAUAGACAGGGGUUAAAACCCCCUCGCCCACC